AGGGAGAUUGAUACGCGAUACAUAAAUCAGUUUACGUGUAUUCGUCACAAAAUCUCCCAAAAUUAAUCGCUCUCUGAUGACUGUAACUUGUGAAGCGGUAAUUUGCAGACAGAUACGGGGCGUACAGAU